rnacentral:rRNA from 1 species
GACGAACGCUGGCGGCGUGCUUAACACAUGCAAGUCGAACGAUGAACGCUGGAGCUUGCUCCGGCUGGAUUAGUGGCGAACGGGUGAGUAACACGUGAGCAAUCUGCCCUUGACUCUGGGAUAACUCCGAGAAAUCGGUGCUAAUACCGGAUAUGACCCUUGGCGGCAUCGCUGGGGGUGGAAAGUUUUUCGGUCAAGGAUGAGCUCGCGGCCUAUCAGCUUGUUGGUGAGGUAAUGGCUCACCAAGGCGACGACGGGUAGCCGGCCUGAGAGGGUGAGCGGCCACACUGGGACUGAGACACGGCCAAGACUCCUACGGGAGGCAGCAGUGGGGAAUAUUGCACAAUGGGCGCAAGCCUGAUGCAGCAACGCCGCGUGGGGGAUGACGGCCUUCGGGUUGUAAACCUCUUUUAGCAGGGAAGAAGCGAAAGUGACGGUACCUGCAGAAAAAGCACCGGCUAACUACGUGCCAGCCGCCGCCGUAA